UACGUAGGGGGCCAGCGUUGUCCGGAAUCAUUGGGCGUAAAGAGCGCGUAGGCGGCCAGACAAGUCCGGUGUGAAAGUCACAGGCUCAACCUGUGAAUGCCGCUGGAAACUGUCUGGCUAGAGUCCGGAAGGGGCGAGUGGAAUUCCUGGUGUAGCGGUGAAAUGCGCAGAUAUCAGGAAGAACACCCGUGGCGAAGGCGGCUCUCUGGGACGGUACUGACGCUGAGACGCGAAAGCGUGGGGAGCGAACAGG
rnacentral:rRNA from 1 species